AUUGAACGCUGGCGGCAGGCCUAACACAUGCAAGUCGAACGAGUGGCGGACGGGUGAGUAAUGUCUGGGAAACUGCCCGAUGGAGGGGGAUAACUACUGGAAACGGUAGCUAAUACCGCAUACCAUCGGAUGUGCCCAGAUGGGAUUAGCUUGUAGGUGAGGUAACGGCUCACCUAGGCGACGAUCCCUAGCUGGUCUGAGAGGAGGACCAGGCACACGGGAACAGAGACACGGGCCGGACUCCUACGGGAGGCCGCAGUGGGGAAUAUUGCACAAUGGGCGCAAGCCGGAUGUAGCCAUGCCGCGUGUAGUAAGAAGGCCUUCGGUUUGUAAAGUACUUUCAGCGGGGAGGCGUUACCCGCAGAAGAAGCACCGGCUAACGCCGUGCCAGCAGCCGCGGUAAUAC
rnacentral:rRNA from 1 species